AUUGAACGCUGGCGGCAUGCUUUACACAUGCAAGUCGAACGGUAACGCGGGGCAACCUGGCGACGAGUGGCGAACGGGUGAGUAAUGUAUCGGAACGUGCCCAGUUGUGGGGGAUAACUGCUCGAAAGAGCAGCUAAUACCGCAUACGACCUGAGGGUGAAAGAGGGGGAUCGCAAGACCUCGCGCAAUUGGAGCGGCCGAUAUCAGAUUAGGUAGUUGGUGGGGUAAAGGCUCACCAAGCCAACGAGCUGUAGCUGGUCUGAGAGGACGACCAGCCACCCUGGGACUGAGACACGGCCCAGACUCCUACGGGAGGCAGCAGUGGGGGAUUUUGGACAAUGGACGCAAGUCUGAUCCAGCCAUGCCGCGUGCGGGAAGAAGGCCUUCGGGUUGUAAACCGCUUUUGUCAGGGAAGAAACGCUCUGGGUUAAUACCUCGGGGUAAUGACGGUACCUGAAGAAUAAGCACCGGCUAACUACGUGCCAGCAGCCGCCGUAACAC
rnacentral:rRNA from 1 species